UGGGGAAUCUUGCGCAAUGGGCGAAAGCCUGACGCAGCAACGCCGCGUGAGGGAAGAAGGCUUUCGGGUUGUAAACCUCUUUCAGGAGGGACGAAGCUUCCGGGGUUAAUAGCCUACGGGGUGACGGUACCUCCAGAAGAAGCCCCGGCUAACUACGUGCCAGCAGCCGCGGUAAUACGUAGGGGGCAAGCGUUGUCCGGAAUCAUUGGGCGUAAAGCGCGUGUAGGUGGCUUGGUAAGUCCGGUGUGAAACCUUGGGGCUCAACCCCAAGCCUGCAUCGGAUACUGCCUCGCUCGAGUUCGGGAGGGGAGAGCGGAAUUCCUAGUGUAGCGGUGAAAUGCGCAGAUAUUAGGAAGAACACCGGUGGCGAAGGCGGCUCUCUGGAACGAUACUGACACUGAGACGCGAAAGCGUGGGUAGCGAACAGGAUUAGAU
rnacentral:rRNA from 1 species